rnacentral:rRNA from 1 species
AUUGAACGCUGGCGGCAUGCCUUACACAUGCAAGUCGAACGGUAACAGGUCUUCGGAUGCUGACGAGUGGCGAACGGGUGAGUAAUACAUCGGAACGUGCCCGAUCGUGGGGGAUAACGGAGCGAAAGCUUUGCUAAUACCGCAUACGAUCUACGGAUGAAAGCAGGGGACCGCAAGGCCUUGCGCGGACGGAGCGGCCGAUGGCAGAUUAGGUAGUUGGUGGGAUAAAAGCUUACCAAGCCGACGAUCUGUAGCUGGUCUGAGAGGACGACCAGCCACACUGGGACUGAGACACGGCCCAGACUCCUACGGGAGGCAGCAGUGGGGAAUUUUGGACAAUGGGCGAAAGCCUGAUCCAGCCAUGCCGCGUGCAGGAUGAAGGCCUUCGGGUUGUAAACUGCUUUUGUACGGAACGAAAAGACUCUUUCUAAUAAAGAGGGUCCAUGACGGUACCGUAAGAAUAAGCACCGGCGAACUACGU